GCCAUCAUAGCUCAGAGGUUAGAGCACUGGUCUUGUAAACCAGGGGUCGUGAGUUCAAUUCUCACUGUUGUUUUGAUGACA